UGGGGAAUCUUGCACAAUGGGCGAAAGCCUGAUGCAGCGACGCCGCGUGGGGGAUGAAGGCCCUAGGGUCGUAAACCCCUUUCAGCAGGGACGAAGAUGACGGUACCUGCAGAAGAAGCCCCGGCCAACUACGUGCCAGCAGCCGCGGUAAUACGUAGGGACCAAGCGUUGUUCGGAUUUACUGGGCGUAAAGGGCGCGUAGGCGGCAUGACAAGUCACUUGUGAAAUCUCUGGGCUUAACCCAGAACGGCCAAGUGAUACUGUCGCGCUAGAGUGCAGAAGGGGCAAUCGGAAUUCUUGGUGUAGCGGUGAAAUGCGUAGAUAUCAAGAGGAACACCUGAGGUGAAGACGGGUUGCUGGGCUGACACUGACGCUGAGGCGCGAAAGCCAGGGGAGCAAACGGGAUUAGAUACCCAGGUAGUCCCUGAGCGGGCUGGCAAGGCGCAU
rnacentral:rRNA from 1 species